GAUGAAGAACGCAGCGAAAUGCGAUAAGUAAUGUGAAUUGCAGAAUUCAGUGAAUCAUCGAAUCUUUGAACGCACAUUGCGCCCGCCAGUAUUCUGGCGGGCAUGCCUGUUCGAGCGUCAUUUCAACCAUCAAGCCCCCGGCUUGUGUUGGGGACCUGCGGCUGCCGCAGGCCCUGAAAUGCAGUGGCGGGCUCGCUGUCACUCCGAGCGUAGUAGUUACAUCUCGCUCUGGGCGUGCUGCGGGUUCCGGCCGUUAAAAGCCUUAUUUACCCAAGGUUGACCUCGGAUCAGGUAGGAAGACCCGCUGAACUUAAGCAUAUAAUAACGGAGGA
rnacentral:misc_RNA from 1 species